UACGUAGGUGGCAAGCGUUAAUCGGAAUUACUGGGCGUAAAGCGCUCGUAGGUAGUAUAUCAAGUCAAGGGUGAAAUCCCCGCGCUCAACGUGGGAACUGCCUUUGAAACUGUUACACUUGAGUGUGUGAGAGGAUAGUGGAAUUCCAGGUGUAGGAGUGAAAUCCGUAGAUAUCUGGAGGAACACCAGUGGCGAAGGCGACUAUCUGGCACAUAACUGACACUGAGGAGCGAAAGCGUGGGUAGCAAACAGG
rnacentral:rRNA from 1 species